rnacentral:lncRNA from 1 species
GUGGAGAAGUCUUCGUUCCAGAGGAAAGGGCACAACAGCGGGCCAGCUGGAGACGGAAGACAGAACAUAUCCCAAGUGCGAGCCAACAGAGAUUUGAAAUUAGAAUCUGGGCUCAACCUGCACCUGGGUUUUAAGAACUCUGUGAUUGUAAGUGGAUAGGGCUGUCAAGUAGUUGGAAGAAAGUGUGUAGAGUCCUGAGGUGACAUGGAGUUGAUUUGCCAAGAAAAAUUAUUAGCAUAUUUAUCUGAUCAUUUGCGUCAAUGUGUCUUCUUGGCAAGGAGAAGCAUUUGUGCAGGGAACUAAUGAAAGAGGAAGGUUAAAAGAAGAGGAGGGCCCCAUAAGGUAAGCAGGAAGUCAAGUGGUACCCAGAGAAGCCCAUCUGGCUUUGCCAUCAAAGGCAACUUGAUGGAGAUGGAGAAGCUAAAUGACUGGCCACAUUUCCCAUGUGUUGUGGGGUGACACCCUCUCCUAGAACCUGGGGACUGGGAUCCAGGCCUGGAGCUUACUUUGGACUUUCUGUGGAGGAUAAUUUUUAUUGGGAAGUGUGGUUUGAAAGGUAAAACUGUUGAAGACCAUCUAUCUUUGAAGAUCAGCGUUUGCUGGCACUCACUGAGGAUUUCUGGAUUCUUGGAAAUCUAACAACUGCCUCUUUCCUCACCACAACUAGGUAUAAACAAUGAAUAAUGUGGGAACUAAGAAUUCAAGGAUGAUGGCCUUCUUAAGGUUUGCUUUGAGUUCAAGGAUUUAAAACUAUAGAUAGAGACAGGAGGCAGCCAAGCAUCCCCAGUGAAACCCCACCUCCAAGCCUAAAAGUCUGAAGGCUGAAAAACCAGACUGAUGGUCCCGGAUGAAGCGUACCGUUUCCCGAUUGAUUCUCUCUGAAUAAUGCCCACCUGCGCACUGGGGGAGGUGAGUGGAGCCAGGGAAAGUUCCUGCCAUUUGCAGGGGAAGGAGCCUGGCCUCUUCAGUUCCUGUGUGGUGACCUGGGAAUCGGUCUAUGAGGUCAUAGCCGUGCCUGGGAGAACCUUCUCUUCAACUCUGCCGCACCACUGUCAAGCUCACCUUUCUUCUAAGGUUUUAUUUUAGAGUUAACAUCCUCCAAAAAGCCUUCCUCAGGAGUUGAAGGUGCCCCUAAUAUCACAGCCAUGGCAUCCUGUACACUGGACCUUAUUGUCUGUCUGCCUGUUGUACCUUGUAUGAGUCUAUAAGCAAAACCUAUAAGAAGCCACAUCUGGCUAUUCUAUGUACUCAAAAAAUAAUUGGCAAGUGAAAGAAUGAGGAAAAGGAGAAAAAAUUCAGAAGGCCCCUACCCCUUCCAAUGGGUCAAGUCAGGAAUUUCCUACCUGCAUGUGAUUCCCUGUGUCCUAGAGGGUUUUAUUUACUCCUCAGACCUUGGAAACUGUUAACCAGAGUCUCUGUUUGGAGAUCUUAUCUGUGUGCUUCUCCAUGGGUGUUGUUUCCCUGUCUCUGCAGCCAUGCAUUCCUCAGCUCUUUAAGUGGUGGAGCCUGUCUGCCUGGAUAGAGUGCAAAAGCUACAGUGUAAUCUUGCUUUCUUUCAGGGCCACUGACCAGAGGAAAUAAAAACUGGACUGAUUGGGCUCUCCUGAUGUAGACCAGCCAGUGGCCCUCUAAGUUUCCUUCUAUGUUUAAAAUUCCUUAUCUGACAUUGCUAGCUGAUCAGCAGGCCCACAGGUCAGCUGAGGGCUUAUCUCCAGGGCUGGAGCUUCAAAGAGAUACAUGCACACGACUCCCCUGGGUCAGAUGGGCUGUGUCACAGUGAGUUGGGGAUAAUUUGGGAUCAGUCAACAUAACACACAUAACACAACCCAUUAAUUUUUUUUUUCAAAAAGCGAAGUUUAUUUUACUUUUUCCCAUUAUGAAAGUCAUCAAUGCUCAUUAUAGAAAAUUUGGCAAAUAACAAAAAGUGGAAAGAAAAAAAUUCCUUAAUAAUUUAGUAUAUUUGAUAUAUUCAUCCUUAAUCCUUAAUCUUUUACUAUGUUAUAUCUUUAAUAGUUGUGAUGAUAUACUUUUUGUAAUAAAUAUAUAUUUGUGUUGUGGCUUUUUUAAAAUUUAAAA